ACUUUGUCGGGAGAGUAGACCGGCGAACGGCGGAGUAACACGUGGCUAACCUGCCCCUGGGAAGGGAAUAACCCACUGAAGAGUGGGCUAAUGCCCUAUACAAUCCUGAUAACGCAUGUUAUCAGGAUGAAAGGCAGGCCUCUUCCGACGUAGUCGGAAUGCUCGCGCCCAGGGAUGGGGCCACGGCCUAUCAGGUAGUUGGUGGGGUAAAAGCCCACCAAGCCGAUGACGGGUAGCCGGCGUGAGAGCGUGGCCGGCCCGAGGGGCACUGAGACACGGGCCCCACUCCUACGGGAGGCAGCAGGCUAGAAAUUUGGGCAAUGGGCGCAAGCCUGACCCAGCGACGCCGCGUGCGGGAUGAAGCCCUUCGGGGCGUAAACCGCUGUCAGGGAGGAAGAUGCCCCGACUGGCGAAUAGCCUUUCGGGGUGACGGUACUCCCAGAGGAAGCCCAGGCUAACCUCGUGCCAGCAGCCGCGGUAAUACGGGGUGGGCAAGCGUUGCCCGGAUUCA
rnacentral:rRNA from 1 species